AUUGAACGCUGGCGGCAUGCCUUACACAUGCAAGUCGAACGGCAGCACGGGUGCUUGCACCUGGUGGCGAGUGGCGAACGGGUGAGUAAUACAUCGGAACAUGUCCUGUAGUGGGGGAUAGCCCGGCGAAAGCCGGAUUAAUACCGCAUACGAUCUACGGAUGAAAGCGGGGGGCCUUCGGGCCUCGCGCUGUAGGGUUGGCCGAUGGCGGAUUAGCUAGUUGGUGGGGUAAAGGCCUACCAAGGCGACGAUCAGUAGCUGGUCUGAGAGGAGGACCAGCCACACUGGGACUGAGACACGGCCAAGACUCCUACGGGGGGCAGCAGUGGGGAAUUUUGGACAAUGGGCGGAAGCCUGAUCCAGCAAUGCCGCGUGUGUGAAGAAGGCCUUCGGGUUGUAAAGCACUUUUGCCCGGAAAGAAAUCCUUGGCCCUAAUACGGUCGGGGGAUGACGGUACCGGAAGAAUAAGCACCGGCUAACUACGUG
rnacentral:rRNA from 1 species